AUUGUUUCCACGUGUGUGGAAAGUUUCCAAAUCGGAAAGAAGCGUGUGUUUUGAGAGGUUUUUAUUCGGGAUUUGAGAAUAUUCCUGGCCUAGUUCUCCGCUUAGAGUGCUAUCGAGAUCAAGAUGGUGUUCUUCACUUGCAAUCACUGCGGUGAAAGCCUCAAAAAGCAAGCAGUGGAGAAGCACUAUGCGUGGAAGAAGUGUCAAGGAGCUCCGGUGUUUCUCACAUGUGUGGAUUGCUUGAAGGAUUUCCGUGGUCAGGAGUACGUGGGGCACACCAAGUGCAUCUCGGAGGCUGAGCGGUACUACGGGAAGGACUUCCGGGAGAAGCCCUCGCAGAACAAGGGUCAGAAGAAGCAGGAAGCGUGGACGGACAUCAUUCAGAAUGUUUUGCAGCGUGAUGACUUGUCCACGAGAAUUCAGGCGGUGCUCCAGAUGCUAACAAAGCAUGAAAAUGUGCCCCGGAAGAAAGUUAAGUUCCUCAACUUCAUGAAAAACGUCUCCCGGCAGACGUCUGAAUAUGAUGCCACGAGGAUUUUCGAUUUGAUUGAAGAAGAGUACCUAAAGAACAAGAAGGAGGAAUCAAAUAGUGUUCCGGAGGAGACCAAUGGACAUGUGAAUGGUCAGGAGGAGAACAAGAAAGGCAAGAAGAGAAAAAAGGACUCCGUCUUAAAUGGAAAUAGCGAGGAAUCUGCAGAGAACAAUGGUCUGGAGACUCUAGAUGCCACGGAAGAAGAGCAAAAACAGAAAAAGAAGCAGAAAAGGAACUCUGGAGAGAACAAAGAUCUGGAGGCUUUAGAAUUGAAGGAAGAAGAACAGGAAAAACCGAAAAAGAAGCGGAAGAAGACAGAGAAAGUGAAUCAGCCCGAAGAGGAAACAAUUGCAGAAACCGCAGAGUCUCCUGCAAAAAGGACCAAGACAAGGAAGGAAGUUGUUCAGGAGAUCAAAAACUCUGCUGAGAGCACAGAAAAGUUCCCUUGGAAAGAGACCCUUGUAGCGAUUCUGCAGAAGAACAGCAACAGCAUGAAUUUGGAGAAGUUGAAAAAGCGUCUUCUCAAGAAACACCAGAAAAUGCAUCCGGAGAACACAACAAUUCAAAGUGCAUUUGAUCUUGUCGUGCAGCGAAAACUCAGGAAGAUGAAGAAUAUAUCUGUUGAAGAUGAUUUAGUAACACUUCAGGCGUGAAAUGAUGCAGCAAAAAAUGGCAAUUAAACAGAAGGAAAUAAAUGUCAAAUUGCAUUUAAAAUAGGUUUUCUGAUCGUCGAAUGCAAGGCUUACGAAAAGAAAUUGAUUCAAUUUCCAUUGUUACUU